ACAAAGUCAAGAGCACAACUUUCACCAUUUGAUAAACUAACAAUAAAUCAAGAGCAUCUCAAUUUUGGAUUCAAUGACAAUAUACAUGUGCUGUGAAGAUGGAGGAAGCACAUAUAUGUGUGAUGCCCAAACAAAGAGCUUGAUAUUGUCGUCAUGUCAAUAUGUCCAAACAAAUGUUGUGCUUCUCUGGUGCAAUCAUGAUCCAAGAUAAACAGCAGCAACACUCAUUCAUUUUUCUCUCUUUAUAUGAAUAACCGACUCAACAUUCUAGAAUAGUGGUAUUCAGCCAGUAAAAUCAUGAUUUGUCCUUAGGAGGACUGCUAAAUUGAUUGGCACCAGCGGCAGCUCUUGACAGCACAUGAGAUCAGUCCGGCACUGAAGAUGAUCUCCAGAUGUCAAUACUUGUCUGGUCAACCCGCAAGACAUCAAGCACAACUGCAACCAAUAGAAAAUUAAAACAAACAGUACUAAUUAUGUACUCCCUCUGUACAAAAAUAUAAGAUGUUUUUAUUAGUCGGAAGUAGAUAUUAUCCAGGAUAUUGCUACUGGCUACAGGUUGCAUAGGUAAUAAAACAGUUGCACAUCAGGAUUAUUUGUUCCCUCCUACUUAUUAUGUUGCCAAAUAAAUUUCUUCUCAUGAUCGUUGCACACAAAAGGCUUUAUGUAGCUCUGUGUAACUGUGAAGCAAACAAUAAAAUCAGUAAAACCAACUUAUAUUACUAUAUCAUGUAUAAAGAUUAAAACUAUAAAUUCUCAGCUAGUCCCAAGUGUAAAAUCUUGCAUCAUAGUUACGGUGCUUAUUUGUGUGCAUCAAACAACACAGAUGGUAGGGGCAGCGCUGCAUCUAUCAAUAAAAGAACAGUAACAGAGCUAAUGCUAAACCUCCCGGAUGAAUCGGUAUAGGAAAUAUCAGACAUAACCAACAAACAGAGAGAGGCAACAUGAGGCCUUGAAGUUGAAGAAGAGUUUGUAGAUUUUCACUGAUAAAUAUAACGUUUACACAAACUUUAGUUUCCACCACGUUACAAUAGCUUGGUAAAUGAAAUUGCUCCACAACUAACAAUUUGCCGACAAAAAUAGAACUCAGGUCUCAUGGACCAUUUGGUAAUCACAUGAUUGGUAAACCAGAAAACUCAUUGCAAACAAACUCACAAAGAGGAUUGCCAUCAUGUACAGGAUGGAUGUUUGCACAUAUAUCAUUAUUUUUCAUAAAACAAGUAGUACGGCUGAAGUGGCUUUAGAUGUACCCAGUUUUAGUAAUCCUUUCAUCUUUAGUUGUACCAAAUUUAGAAAUCCUAUGUUGGUCCUGAAGUUUUGUAGUCACCUCCCUCACAAUCAAUAAGUUCAUCAAAAUCUUGCAUCCAAAAUGAAAGAUAUAAACUAUUAUAUUGCUUAUCAGAGAAGAUACAAUUUUUGUAUCAUUCAUUUCUGGUAAAAGUAUACAACUACAAAAUUUGCAAACAGGAGGAGGUGAGUAGAGCCGUGAGUAUCAUUUUGGUUUACAUAGAAGAUUAGUACAUGCUAAAAUUAGGAAAUUGCAAACUGGAGAAGAUUUAUCUAUACAUACACAGAAAAUUAGGAAAUGGCAUACAAUCAGGUUGUAUUAAUAAAACAUACACAUUCUGAAUCAUGGGAGUGUCAAAUACUCUAGUCUAAUAGUGUGGUAAGCUUGUACUGCUCUUAGGCAGUCUAGAGAAUGGUGUAUCCAAAAAAUUCUAUGCAUACCUUGACCAAGAAAUAAUUGAUGUACAAGCCAAAAAAGCACGAGCCACAACAGAAGAUAAUAGCUUUAGAAAAUUAGUCCAAAUAAGAUAGAGAUAAUGCAGUAUCGUCUCUCAGCCACAUUUUCUAACAGAAUCAACCACUUCAUCAAAGUUCAGUUUUUCCAACACACAAAAUCCAGUAUCUAGAAAUAAUUAACGUGAGAAGAUUAGCACCUAAUGAGUGUGUGUGUCAUACACAUAUUAACCAAUUGUAUAAAAGAAUCAAGACAAAGCAGAGGACAUAAAUAGUAGGCAUAAGCAUGGUUAUAUAUCAGUAUUACUUUGUCCAUCAGCACAGGUGUGAGAUGUCCUAUUAACAAAGCAACAUCAAGCAAAGGAGGUCCCUAGAUGUGCUUGCUCUACAAAAAAACCUAGCCCACCUUCCUGAAAUUGUAGGAGAAAAAUUAAAGUGAGCAUGUAUCAUCUAGCCAAAAAGUAAAACAAGUUUGUGAGUGGGCAUUCAGUUUUGUUUAGUAGACAAUCAACAGAUAUUGAGGAACUUGCAAGUUAGAAAAAUACUUAUACGGCAAUAUUAAAACAAUAGCAGGCAGCAAUCAUUGGUUGCCAAUAAUCAAGAAUUCAUGAUCCAAUGCUAGUGGGGACUCACAUAAUUACAUUCUUAUUUUAGGUGAUAGUAUCUAGGACAAACCAGCACCUUGCGAGCCAACGUGCCUUUGUCCUUCAUCUCUUGAUGACGUGCUCUGCUUAGCACACAAGCAGAAGUCGACACACAAACACAUCAGUAGUAGUUCGUAAAAUUACAGAACAACAUUAGACAAAUAUUCCGAAGCUGGUUCUUGAAAUUUUUGGAAGCUUGGGGCCACAAGAAGCUCUCUGCAAACAUUAAGUGAUGGCAGUUUGAUUUCUUCCCUCCUAAACUGAAACUGUAAUAAUCAAAAGCCAACACAAUAUGUUCCCCACUUCUGCUCAAACCAACAACCAAAGAUGCAUUGUAUGAGCGCUAUUCUGAAACAUUACUAAUAUGGGGGAGGCAAGGUAUAUAGGCUAGUAUGGCUGGUUGUCCACCACUGAGCAACUGAAUCCGAUGCUACAUCUCUUAGAACAACACGCCCUCGACCAGAAAUACGGCGCCACCCACUCGCGCCCUCCGGCACCAAGCAUGAGAUGUCUGAGCGGUGAAUCAACACCAGCGUCGAGCCCGGGGUGCCACCGGAGUUCACCACAUUACAGGCAGCCCCUCGACCAGCUGUCUCCACUCGCCACGCGCCAUUCCAAUGGAAGAACUGAGAAGGGAAGGAUCUAGGAGAGAGAGGGGACCGUUACCUGAUUCCUCGCCGUCGAGGAUGCGUUAGUCCGGCACCGUCAUUCCAAAGUGGGAAUUUGAUUCCCCACCGCCGUUGAGGAUGCUUCGUCCACUGAUGUCGUUCCAGAGAGAGGAGGCGCCGUUCCAGAGCACUCAAGCCCCCAAUCCUCCACCCACCCACAUCUUCCUCCACGCUGGGAGGCAACGUCCUUCCCAAGCUCGACCGCCACAGCGGUGAAACCCCUUUUCCAUGAUCCAUGCUAUGCCCACACAAC
rnacentral:lncRNA from 1 species